AUUGAACGCUAGCGGGAUGCCUUACACAUGCAAGUCGAACGAGUGGCGGACGGGUGAGUAAUAUAUCGGAACGUGCCCAGUAGCGGGGGAUAACUACUCGAAACAGUGGCUAAUACCGCAUACUAUCGGAGGUGCCGAUAUCGGAUUAGCUAGUUGGGGGGGGAAAGGCUCACCAAGGCGACGAUCCCUAGCUGGUUUGAGAGGAUGACCAGCCACACUGGGACUGAGAGACGGCCCAGACUCCUACGGGAGGCAGCAGUGGGGAAGUGUGGACAAUGGGGGAAAGCCUGAUCCAGCCAUCCCGCGUGUAUGAGAAGGCCUGCGGUUUGUAAAGUACUUUUAGCAGAGAAGCGGUAUCUGCAGAAGAAGCACCGGCUAACUACGUGCCAGCAGCCGCGGUAAUUC
rnacentral:rRNA from 1 species